UUGGAGGGCAAGUCUGGUGCCAGCAGCCGCGGUAAUUCCAGCUCCAAUAGCGUAUAUUAAAGUUGUUGCAGUUAAAAAGCUCGUAGUUGAAUUUCGGGGUCAGUAGGUCGGUCGUGCCACUGGUAUGAACUGGUUUUACUGAUUCCUCCCUCUUGAAGAACUGUAAUGCCAUUAAUUUGGUGUUGCAGGGAAUCAGGACUGUUACUUUGAAAAAAUUAGAGUGUUUAAAGCAGGCUUUAGCUUGAAUACAUUAGCAUGGAAUAAUGAAAUAGGACGUUUGAUCUUAUUUUGUUGGUUUCUAGGAUUGACGUAAUGAUUAAUAGGGAUAGUUGGGGGCAUUAGUAUUCAAUUGUCAGAGGUGAAAUUCUUGGAUUUAUUGAAGACUAACUACUGCGAAAGCAUUUGCCAAGGAUGUUUUCAUUAAUCAAGAACGAAAGUUAGGGGAUCGAAGACGAUCAGAUACCGUCGUAGUCUUAACCAUAAACUAUGCCGACUAGGGAUCGGAUGAUGUUAAUUUUCUAAUGACUCAUUCGGCGCCUUACGGGAAAC
rnacentral:rRNA from 1 species